UACGUAGGGGGCAAGCGUUGUCCGGAAUUAUUGGGCGUAAAGAGCGUGUAGGCGGUCCGGUAAGUCAGCUGUGAAAGUCAAGGGCUCAACCCUUGAAUGCCGGUUGAUACUGUCGGGCUAGAGUCCGGAAGAGGCGAGUGGAAUUCCCGGUGUAGCGGUGAAAUGCGCAGAUAUCGGGAGGAACACCAAUGGCGAAGGCAGCUCGCUGGGACGGUACUGACGCUGAGACGCGAAAGCGUGGUGAGCAAACAGG
rnacentral:rRNA from 1 species